rnacentral:RNase_P_RNA from 1 species
GAGAGUAGGCGCAGGCAGUUGCAGCCAGCUUUUACAGCUGGUCUGAGGAAAGUCUGGACUCCCGAAAGACCAAACUUGCUGGGUAACGCCCAGUGCGAGCGAUCGUGAGGAUAGUGCCACAGAAAGAUACCGCCAAUUGGUCAUCGGUCAGUAGUCAUUCGUUAUUUGUAAAUAGCUAAUGACAAAUGACAAAUGACGAUUUGGUAAGGGUGCAAAGGUGCGGUAAGAGCGCACCAGCAGCAUCGAGAGGUGCUGGCUCGGUAAACCCCGGUUGGGAGCAAGGUCGGAGGAACUACGGUUGGUCUUUUCCCAGUUCCGCUAUUGGUGUACCGCUAGAGGUGUCUGGUAACAGGCAUCCCAGAUAGAUAACUGCCUUCUGCUUGUAGAGACGCGAUCGCGUUGAUGCAGCAGAAAACAGAAUCCGGCUUAUGUCCUGCUCUCUCUU